GGUCGGGUGGCGCAAAGGUAGCGCGUAUCACUCCUAGUUUCGCCGAGGUGAUGAUGAGGCUGUGGGUUCGAGUCCCAUCUCGAUCG